GAUGAACGCUGGCGGCGUGCCUAAUACAUGCAAGUCGAGCGAACAGACGAGGAGCUUGCUCCUCUGACGUUAGCGGCGGACGGGUGAGUAACACGUGGAUAACCUACCUAUAAGACUGGGAUAACUUCGGGAAACCGGAGCUAAUACCGGAUAAUAUAUUGAACCGCAUGGUUCAAUAGUGAAAGACGGUUUUGCUGUCACUUAUAGAUGGAUCCGCGCCGCAUUAGCUAGUUGGUAAGGUAACGGCUUACCAAGGCAACGAUGCGUAGCCGACCUGAGAGGGGGAUCGGCCACACUGGAACUGGAACACGGUCCAGACUCCUACGGGAGGCAGCAGUAGGGAAUCUUCCGCAAUGGGCGAAAGCCUGACGGAGCAACGCCGCGUGAGUGAUGAAGGUCUUCGGAUCGUAAAACUCUGUUAUUAGGGAAGAACAAAUGUGUAAGUAACUAUGCACGUCUUGACGGUACCUAAUCAGAAAGCCACGGCUAACUACGUG
rnacentral:rRNA from 1 species